CUUCCGAGCGGCUGCAGAUGGGUGAACUGCCCCCACCCUCCUUUCUUGACCUGUCACCCUUCCCUGGGCGAGAUCACUGUGUCCCUCUCCAAGCUUGCGUCCUGGACCCGUGGGACGGCAACCACAGACCAUUCCCAGACAGGCCAUCCUCAUUGUUCAAGGAUUCUGGAUUUGCAAGUUCACCUGCUUGCUAAAAUUUAUUUUUUUAACCCCCAAAUCAAUACAUGUGCCCCUUCACAGUCAUUCAUGCACAUGCGCAGAGCAGGGGAAAAUUUGAGUCAUUCCCAGCUGAGGUCAAACAAGGCGACACGCUGCCUGCUUGCUCCAGCUCUCACACCGUAAACAUGGGUCCUUUCCAAAGUACAUUGAGUGCCAGGGUUUUUGCACUUUUGUGCUUUUUGUCAGUGAUUUUGCUGUUCAGAGUGGCCCUGAGCAUAGUGCUGAAGCUCGAGGAGGCUGGGACGUGCCUCACGGAGAAACUGCGUGUGUUGGAUUAGCUUCGCCCAGAAGUGAGUCACAGCUGUUGGCUGGGAGUUCAAGUUCCUGAAGCUUUUAAAAUGCAAAACAUGUAUAAAACGUCUCUUGGACAUUCCCAUGUCGGAUGGGUUGGCGGGAAUGGAGACCGGAUGCAUCACCUGCUCAGGAUGCGCCUCGUUACUGGGGGGCUCUGAGAACGCUGGGAUAGCCCCCGAUUCUGAGCCGCCUCAAGGAGGAGCUGGGGGAGAAAUGGGCUCCACGUUUCCCGCCAGAAAUAGCCACUUCUGCAUCUACAUGUCGUGAUUAUGAUUUUGCUUCAAGCCCAUGAAUCCUGGAUCCGAGCUACCCUGGGUCCCAGGUGGUAGAGAGCAGGAGAGGCAGAGAAGCCCCCCAAGAUCCUGGGGUGACUUCCAGUGGGAUUGCGAAGCACCCCCAAAGCUGAGGGCUGCCUUACUUAAGAGGAAAGGCCUUCGGGGGAAGCAGGAGGCCCUGGUGACACCAUGAACUUUUCCAAAAUAUUGAAUCUUCAUGCUUGACAGCAAAGAAGCAAACCAAUUGGCACAAAACUGU